GAUGAACGCUGGCGGCGUGCCUAACACAUGCAAGUCGAGCGUGAACCCUGCGAAUGAAACUUCGGUCGAUUUUGCAGGGGGAAAGCGGCGGACGGGUGAGUAACGCGUAGGUAACCUGCCCCAUACUGAGGGAUAGCCUCGGGAAACCGGGAUUAAUACCUCAUAACACCGUAUAUUCGCAUGGAUGUGCGGUCAAAGAUUUAUCGGUAUGGGAUGGGCCUGCGUCUGAUUAGCUGGUUGGUGGGUAACGGCCUACCAAGGCGACGAUCAGUAGCCGACCUGAGAGGGUGAUCGGCCACAUUGGAACUGAGACACGGUCCAGACUCCUACGGGAGGCAGCAGUGGGGAAUAUUGGGCAAUGGGCGCAAGCCUGACCCAGCAACGCCGCGUGAGGGAAGAAGGUCUUCGGAUUGUAAACCUCUGUCCUUGGGGACGAAAAAAUGACGGUACCCAAGGAGGAAGCUCCGGCUAACUACGUG
rnacentral:rRNA from 1 species